GGGCCGCUGGUCUAGUGGUAUGAUUCUCGCUUAGGGUCACAACCCAAAGUUUAUUACUUGCGAGAGGUCCCGGAUUCGAUCUCCGGGUGGCCCC